ensembl:lncRNA
AAACAAAUGAUGCCUGGCAAAUGCUUAAUUAUUCCUGAAUUUCAUAUGAGAACAAUGUCAGCAUCUUGCAAAAUAGAGUUUGAUGAAUAGCCUAGCUGCAGUAAACCUUUUAAAAGAAAAAUACUGACUUUGAUGAUCUGAGAUUUUCAGUUUAUGAGGUCAUUAAUCAUCGGAAGUGUUAUGUCUCAUUUCUGCUAGAGAGUUAUUUUCUACCCUUAGGGCCAUAGAAUGUUUAUUAGACUUAAAUAAGAAAAUGGUUUCCGCUCAUGGCUAUUCAAAUUCUAUUAAAAAUAAUUUCUAAACCAGCAACCAUUUCCCCUAUCUCUCUGUUAAACAUAGGAAAGAGUAAGCUUUUUAAAAAUCUACCAGGCUGCCCUGUAUAAGUUUUCACCCCCUAAUGUAGUGAGAUGAUAAUAACACCUAUUGAUUUUUUUUAAAAAAAUCCUUUCCUUUGGUGAGACUGCUACAAGGGUGGGUGUCUCGUGCAGUUUUGAACUCCAAGAGGACUCAUCCGUCUUUCAGGAGGAAUCAGUACAUGACACUGCAUGUGCUUUUUGGAAAUGCUUAACCUUUAUCAUGUUGUGCACCUACUUCAACCACCUUAUAAGGAAAAAGUUCUAAGAUUUCCAGAACCCACGGAAGUUCAUUUGGAAUCACCACAGCUAAUAAGCACAGUGAGCACUUUAUUGGAAGCUUCCCCAAAGCCUGCAGUAGGAGCGAACAGCAGAGGCAUCAAGGAGAAGGAUGCCAAAGAAAAGAAGCCAGUUCAUGCCGGAAACAGAACCUUGGAAGAGCUCAAGAACAGAGGCACCGUCUCUGAGGAUGGAGUCACAGAGUUGUCGAGAGUUAGCACAGUGGAGAAGACAAUGGCACCCCACUCCAGUACUCUUGCCUGGAAAAUCCCAUGGGCAGAUGAGCCUGGUAGGCUGCAGUCCAUGGGGUCGUGAAGAGUCGGACACGACUGAGCAAGUUCAUUUUCACUUUUCGUGCAUUGGAGAAGGAAAUGGCAACCCACUCCAGUGUUGUUGCCUGGAGAAUCCCACGGACAGGAGCCUGGUGGGCUGUUGUCUAUGGGGUUGCACAGAGUUGGCCACGACAGACAUGACUUAGCAGCAGCAGCAGCACAGUGGAAACUGGCCUUCCAGGUCUUCUUGUCUCCUCCUCCUAUUGGCUCCUCCCUGGUCUGCUGAAGACCAAAGACCGAGACUUUCUUUCUAGAGGAGAUGCAUCAGAGUUAAGUCUGUCUCUAGAGGCACCGGGAGCGCCUGAGGGUGGAGGUAAGGAGUCCUACAGAGAACAGAAGUAUUAAAUGAUAGGCUACGUAUUAAAAUCGGUGUCUGACACCCUCCUCCCCUUGCUCAGCUUCCCAAACACUGGCAGCCAGCAUUUCCUCUGUGGAGAAACUCAUCAGCUUAAAAGAAAGACCUAGAUGGAGUGAUAACUGAGCAUCCGCCAAUGAAAUAGAGGACCAUCCCCAGAGGCCCAUCAGUUGACAAGCCCCAGCCAUGCCUACCAUUUCCAACCUCUGUAUUUAGCUCCUUGCUAAACUGAAAAGACAGCCGAGGAUCAGACAGAUGAGGGAUGGUUCUCCAUGCAAAUCUGAGACCAAAGGAAACAGAUAAAAUUAACUUGGAAGAAACAGACAAUGUGGGGAACAAAAGAAUGUAUUAAAAACUCUAGGAUGGAAUAUUCUCUCUAAGGGAAAAAGAUGCUGUGUUCAUGAAAUGAGAAGAGAAUGAAUGCCAUUUGAAAGAAGAAAAGAAACAUUCAGAGACCAAGAAAGCAUUCUAAUAAAUUUUAAAUGAUGGCAAACAGAAAUUAAAGAUAAAGGUUGAUAAAUAAAACUGAGCAAAAGUCUAAGUAAUUAGAUUUAAAAAAAAGGAAGAGAUGAGAAGUAGGAGAGGCAAGAUAAGCAAACCAGAAGAUUGAUCAGGAAGUUUCGAAAGUUAACAAACACGAGUUCCAGAAACUAGAAGGGAAAAAAAUAGAAGAAAAGAGAUUUUGUAAAGACAAAUACAAAAGCAUUUCUAGAACUAAGGGAAUAAACUUUCAUCCUGAAGAGGUCUACUUAAUACCUAGCACAAUAUAUGGGGGAGAAAAAGCAUGUAGAACUGAUUUCUCACUGUGAAAUUUCAGAACAACACACACACACACACACACACACACACACAAAGAUGCUAACGGUUGCCACAAUGGAAACAGAAAUAUCAUAUACAAAGCCUCCAAGAUUAGAAUUCGUAGAACUUCUCCACAGCAAACUGGGGUUGCAAGGCAAAGAAGCAGCCAGAGAGAAUGAUUUCAAAACAAAGCAUCGAUCAGGCCUAAGCCUAGAAUAAGGAUAUUUUCAGACUAUGAGGACUUUAAAAGUUAUACCUUCUGCCUUUUUUCCCCCUGCAAGCUGCUGGAGAAGGUGCUUCAUCAAAAAAAAAUGAAUAAACCUGUGAUGACCUAAAUGGGAAGAAAACCCAAAAAAAGAGGGGAUUUACAUAUACAAACAGCUGAUUCACUUCACUGCACAGCAGAAAUUAACAUAACAUUGUAAAGCAACAACACUCCAGUAAAAAUUAAUGGAAAAGGAAUAAACCAAGAAAAAGAUCUCAGGCAAUUCAAGAAAAGAGGAUUCCCAGGAUGAAAGGAAGUCCCUGGAUGACAGCUGUGCACAAAGCAACUCAUCUAGAUGGGAUCAAGAUGCGAAAAGGCUCCAGGAGAGUCAGCAGGCAGAUCAUCUAUCCUGUUUGACAAGAAGGAAAAGAAAGUGAAGUCUCUCAGUUGUGUCCAACUCUUUGCGACCCCAUGGACUGUGGCCUACCAGGCUCCUCCACCCAUGGGAUUUUCCAGGCAAGAGUACUAGAGAUGGAAAGAAGAGAUGGACGUGAGGGUCUCCAUGCGUGCAUGCUGCACGAUAAGUCGUCGCUUCGUGUCUGACUCUGUGCAACCCCAUGGACUGUAGCCCGCCAGGCUCCUCUGUCCAUGGGAUUCUCCAGGCAAGAAUACUGGAGUGGGUUGCCAUGCCCUCCUCCAGGGGAUCUUCCUGACCUAGGGAUGGAACCCACAUCCCCUUUAUCUCCUGCAUUGGCAGGAGGAUUCUUUACCUCUAGUGCCAGCUGGGAAGCCCAAUGAGGGUCUCCAGAUCCUGCUAAUUUGUCACACGUGUACUAACCUUUCACCUCAAUACCCCUUCCUUUCUCCUAAUGACAACUAUCUGCUUGGUCGUGUGUGACAAAGCUCUCCAUAUCUACUUUAUGGAUGAGGUUUUGAUACUCAGAAUGCUUUGAUCUUACUCCUCCAGGACAAAGAAGGAAGUUGAAUAAUUCCGAUGACUAUUUCUUGUCUUCAUUACAUAUUUUUUACAACUAGAUACGGCUUCUAGGGAAAAGAUAAUGUCUGUCCAGCUGCACAUUUGUUGCCCAUAAUUUGAUAAUCCGUGCGGAAAACAGAAGUUGGCUGAUGCUGACUCCACAGCAGGGACAUGUAGGGUAAAAAGCAGACGAACUUCAAAGGCCUUGGUUAGAACUUGGCUCUAAUGCUUGUCAUGUGACUCUUUCGACCUUUUCUCAAGAGUUUUACAAUCUGUGAAAUGAAGCAGUUGGACUGUAAUCUUGGAAAUCUUUCCAGCUCUAACAUUCAAUGAUCAGAACUUUAAAUCUGGUGCAUGUUUUUCAAAAUUUGGAACCUUAGUUUCCACUCUUUGAGAAUUAACUGGGGAAGUUUCAUAGGCUCAAAAAAAUAACCAGUAGUUAACUGUUCUGCUUGUGCCCUCCUUCUGCACGUAUUUAGCUGCUUCUCUACAUGUACUGGGCAGACUGAUGCUGGGUUACAGGCACAGUUUGAA